GGGGAAUUUUCCGCAAUGGGCGCAAGCCUGACGGAGCAAUACCGCGUGGGGGAGAAAGGCCCUUGGGUUGUAAACCCCUUUUGUCAGGGAAGAACACAAUGACGGUACCUGACGAAUCAGCCUCGGCUAACUCCGUGCCAGCAGCCGCGGUAAGACGGAGGAGGCAAGCGUUAUCCGGAAUCAUUGGGCGUAAAGCGUCCGUAGGUGGCCCCUCAAGUCUGCUGUUAAAGCCCAGGGCUCAACCCUGGAGAAGCAGUGGAAACUGGAGGGCUAGAGUGCGGUAGGGGUAGAGGGAAUUCCCGGUGUAGCGGUGAAAUGCGUAGAGAUCGGGAAGAACACCAGUGGCGAAAGCGCUCUGCUGGACCGCAACUGACACUGAGGGACGAAAGCUAGGGGAGCGAAUGGGAUUAGAUACCCCAGUAGUC
rnacentral:rRNA from 1 species